rnacentral:tRNA from 1 species
GUUCUCGGCUUCAAAUCUUGGAGAA